AGGAUUUAGGACUGAAGGUACUCUUGACAUGAUGAUAGCAAAAUAUUGAGUUAUACCAGACCUUCAUGAGUAAAGAUUUAUCAGGUAUAUGGUAGCCCAAAUAGCAAGAAUUUCCUAUUUUCUAUGUUCAAAAAGCAAGCUUUUCAGCAACAUCAUGUUUUUUUAGUCUGUUUGGCAUCAUUGUUGGAGUUGUUUGUUGAAAAAUGCACCCCCUUAAAUGUUUUAGUUAUAGGCUAUUAAAAAUUGAUUUUAAGUUAAAUUUGAUAUGUUUACAUUUUCAAACCGCUUUUUCCACUAGCAUAAAAAAUGAUUCUUUUUCAAAAAAAAAAAAGUUUUAAAU
rnacentral:misc_RNA from 1 species